rnacentral:sRNA from 1 species
UGCAAUUCCCACGACUGACGUACACGUGA